CUAUUUGCUUUCUCUGAAUCUGUAUCAGUUCAUGCAGUUCUGCCAAGUGGGGAAGCUUUGCAGGACACUGCCACUGUAGCACUUGAAAUAUUAAGAUGAACAGAACAAGCAAAAGGUGGGAAAACUGGAAAGAUUGAAUGUCCUUUGGAGUUCACAGAGGUUUGGCAGUGGGAGGAGAAAAACAAAACGAAGCAUAGUGGGAGUGUUGAACAGACUUUCCCAAGAUCCCCAGGAUCAGUGGGGUGUCGCUGUUCUGGCCAUAAACCUCUGUGGACAGUGGCUCAUUUGCCAGGGUUUUGCUUGGGCCUACUGGGCUAGUUCUGCUCACUCAGCCUGCCAGGCUGUGCUCAGCACACACUACAUGCCUGGAUCCCAUGUCUGCCAAGGGCUAGUCAGGGGUGGAGCAGUGAGGGGUGUGAGUGAACAUGAAGUCUGGCCACUGCAGCUGGGUGGGCAGCUCCAGGUGCCGGCAUGGGCACCAGCUCUCUGUGAGGCUGUGGCUGAACCAGAUGCACUGCAAGCAACUUCCACAGCUGGCACUGGA
rnacentral:lncRNA from 1 species